UAGGGAAUCUUCCACAAUGGACGCAAGUCUGAUGGAGCAACGCCGCGUGAGUGAAGAAGGUUUUCGGACCGUAAAGCUCUGUUGUUGGUGAAGAAGGAUAGAGGUAGUAACUGGCCUUUAUUUGACGGUAAUCAACCAGAAAGUCACGGCUAACUACGUGCCAGCAGCCGCGGUAAUACGUAGGUGGCAAGCGUUGUCCGGAUUUAUUGGGCGUAAAGCGAGCGCAGGCGGAAGAAUAAGUCUGAUGUGAAAGCCCUCGGCUUAACCGAGGAAUUGCAUCGGAAACUGUUUUUCUUGAGUGCAGAAGAGGAGAGUAGAACUCCAUGUGUAGCGGUGGAAUGCGUAGAUAUAUGGAAGAAUACCAGUGGCGAAGGCGGCUCUCUGGUCUGCAACUGACGCUGAGGCUCGAAAGCAUGGGUAGCGAACAGGAUUAGAUACCCCUUGGUAG
rnacentral:rRNA from 1 species